rnacentral:rRNA from 1 species
AUUGAACGAUGGCGGCAGGCCUAACACAUGCAAGUCGAGCGGAGCGGCGGACGGGUGAGUAAUGCCUAGGAAUCUGCCUGGUAGUGGGGGAUAACGUCCGGAAACGGGCGCUAAUACCGCAUACUAUCAGAUGAGCCUAGGUCGGAUUAGCUAGUUGGUGGGGUAACGGCGUACCAAGGCGACGAUCCGUACCUGGUCUGAGAUGAUGAUCAGUCACGCGGGGACUGAGACACGGUCCAAACGCCUACGUGAGGCAGCAGUGGGGAAUAAUUGACAAUGGGCGAAAGCCUGAUCCAGCCAUGCCGCGUGUGGGAAGAAGGUCUUCGGAUUGUAAAGCACUAUAAGUUGGGAGGCGUUACCAACAGAAUAAGCACCGGCUAACUUCGUGCCAGCCGCCGCGGUAAUUC